GGGCUCGUAGCUCAGUUGGUUAGAGCGUUCGAUUCACAUUCGAAAGGUCGGAGGUUCGAAUCCUCUCGAGCCCA
rnacentral:tRNA from 1 species